UCAGUAACACGUAGUCAACCUAACUCGUGGACGUGGAUAACCUCGGGAAACUGAGAAUAAAUCACGAUAGAUCAUAGUGCCUGGAAUGGCUUAUGGUCCAAACAGUUUACUGUCAUGGGAUGGGACUGCGGCCUAUCAGCUUGUUGGUGAGGUAAUGGCCCACCAAGGCGAUUACAGGUACGGGCUCUGAGAGGAGAAGCCCGGAGAUGGGUACUGAGACACGGACCCAGGCCCUAUGGGGCGCAGCAGGCGAGAAACCUUAGCAAUGUGCGAAAGCACGACUGGGUCAGUCCGAGUGAUUCCUGAUAAAGGAGUCUUUUGCCUCUCUUAAAAGCACAGGUGAAUAAGGGGUGGGCAAGUUUGGUGUCAGCCGCCGCGGUAAUACCAGCACCUCGAGUGGUCAGGACGUUUAUUGGGCCUAAAGCAUCCGUAGCCGGCUCUGCAAGUCUUCGGUUAAAUCCACCUGCUCAACAGAUGGGCUGCUGGAGAUACUACAGAGCUAGGGAGUGGGAGAGGCAGACGGUAUUCAGUGGGUAGGGGUGAAAUCCUUUGAUCCAUUGAGGACCACCAGUGGCGAAGGCGGUCUGCCAGAACACGUUCGACGGUGAGGGAUGAAAGCUGGGGGAGCAAACCGGAUUAGAUAUUCCGGGUAGUCCCAGCUGUAAACGAUGCAAACUCGGUGAUGCAUUGGCUUAUGGCCAAUGCAGUGCCGCAGGGAAGCCGUUAAGUUUGCCGCCUGGGAAGUACUGGACGCAAGUUUGAAGUUAAAGGAAUCGGCGGGGGAGCAC
rnacentral:rRNA from 1 species